GGUUGUCGAGCGUAACCCACGCCCAGAACUACCACAGAAAACCCAGUAGCUCCCAGGGACUUUACGGCUAUACCAAGCCGAGGCAUUGGCUGACAGUGCCAUAUGUUCCCAAGCACGAUACCUACAAGGACACGCUGCUACACUUAAGCCCGUCUGUAUCCAGACAGACAAUAUCGUUAAUCCUAUGUUUUAGUUCAUUUUAUGUUUGAGUGACUUGUAGUUGCCUGCCUAUGUCUACACAAGCUAUACAAAAAUUGAGGCAUUCCAGGGGUUAAACCCAGCUAGCAUG